rnacentral:misc_RNA from 1 species
GAUGAAGAACGCAGCGAAGUGCGAUAAGUAAUGUGAAUUGCAGAAUUCCGUGAAUCAUCGAAUCUUUGAACGCAAAUUGCACUCUCUGGUAUCCCGGGGAGUAUGCCUGUUUGAGGGUCAGUGUUAAUAAAAAUCGGUGCGUUGCACUUUAUUGUGACGUUCUGGAGUUUGAGUUAUCUUAACUUUUAGGUUAAGAGGCUUAAAAUUGACCUUUUUUUUGUGCAUUUUAGACGUACAUAAAUUUUCUUUUAUUUGUCUUUUAAUGCCAAAAUUAUAUUAGAUGCGACCAUAUCGUGUGGUUUCGUGUCUAUAAAUUUUUCAUGAUUUGACCUCAAAUCAGGUAGGAGUACCCGCUGAACUUAAGCAUAUCAAUAAGCGGAGGA